rnacentral:rRNA from 1 species
AACUUUUAUUGUGUUUAUUUUUGGUUUAAGUAUACACAAUUUGUCCAGUGGUUUAUCCACAUAAAAUUCUAGAUAGUAAACUGAUAAUGACAAAUUACUAUCUAAUAGUCUUGACUAAAUCACGUGCCAGCUGUCGCGGUAAUACGGGAAAGACAAGUGUUAUUCAUCUUUAAUAGGUUUAAAGGGUACCUAGACGGAUAUAUAAACCCUAUCCUUUUAUGUAAAAAAGAGGGUGCAAUCUAUAAUAGUUUGUGUUAUGCAGAAAUUACCUCUCUGAAUAUCGCAAUAGCAGCUUUGUGCGGCUUAUUUUUAGCUUUUAUUAAAAUGCAUUUGCAAAUAUCCCGUUUGUUAAUGUUAAAUUAAUAAUUUUGUAAGAAAUAUACUUUAUCUUACUGCUGGGUUAUGUAAGUGUUGGUUAGCUCGGGUGUUUACCUUCUAAUAACCCAUUAUAUAUAGUAUUGUACGGGUACAAUUAUCUAGAGUUUUAUGUGAGAGGUUAGUAUGAGUACUAACGGAGUAGAGAUGAAAUUCUUUGAUACUGUUGGGCACUGAUAACGGCGAAGGCAACCCUUUAUGUAAAAACUGACGUUGAGGGACGAAGGCUUGGGUAGCAAACAGGAUUAGGUACCCUAAUAGUCCAGGCAGAAAAUUAUGAGUGCCAUAGAUUAGAAUUUUUUUGGUCUAUAAAUGAAAGUGUAAGCACUCCACCUCAAGAGUAAUGUGGCAACGCAGGAACUGAAAUCAUUAGACCGUUUCUGAAACCAGUAGUGAAGUAUGUUGUUUAAUUCGAUGAUCCGCGAAAAACCUUACCACAAUUUGAAUAUAUUAGUGUAAAAAAUUUCAAAUAUGCUAUUUAUACAGGUGUUGCACGGCUGUCUUUAGUUAAUGUCGUGAGAUGCAGGUUAGCUCCAAUAAAUUAACGUAAACCCUUGCUUUAUUUGUUAUAAAGUAGUUCUCUGGAAUAUCGGAUAAGAU